rnacentral:rRNA from 1 species
GUGGGGAAUCUUCCGCAAUGGACGAAAGUCUGACGGAGCGACGCCGCGUGAGUGAAGAAGGCCUUCGGGUCGUAAAGCUCUGUCAUCAGGGACGAACGGCCGGUGGAGUGGAAAGCCACCGGAUUGACGGUACCUGAGAAGGAAGCCACGGCUAACUACGUGCCAGCAGCCGCGGUAAUACGUAGGUGGCAAGCGUUGUCCGGAAUUAUUGGGCGUAAAGCGCGCGCAGGUGGGAUCUUAAGUCCAUUUUGAAAGUUCGGAGCUCAACUCCGUGAUGGGAUGGAAACUGGGAUUCUUGAGUACCGGAGAGGAAAGCGGAAUUCCCCGUGUAGCGGUGAAAUGCGUAGAUAUGGGGAGGAACACCAGUGGCGAAGGCGGCCUGCUGGACAUUAACUGACGCUGAGGCGCGAAAGCGUGGGGAGCAAACAGGAUUAGAUACCCCGGUAGUCC